UUUGAGUCACCCAGAUUUUAUGAAUCUUCCUGUCACUUUACACAAAGCUUAGCUAAUGGAAAAAACAGAGGACUAGAAUCAUGUCCAUGGUUUCUGAGCCUUUUAUUGGCCAACGACGUCUGCAAAGCUACUUGCUAUCAUAAGUAACUAGGGUCAGAACCACCGUGGCCGAGAAUAUCUAGUCAACCUUGGACACAACUGUCACAAAACCAUAUAACCCACAGUGAGAGGUUGGAAAACAUACUGGAGGCUAUUGCUUAUCUCUGAUUCUUCUCAAAUUUUUCAGAAACUCUAUUCCUUAAGUCCCAGGUGCAAACUACAUCUUUCCAUUUGUUGUGACAGAUUUGUGCUAAUAGAUGGUGUUGGCAUCUCAUGAUAUAUUGGACCAUCAGAUUUCCUGCUGACAAAAUCUUGGAUAGGUUUGUAAGCCCAAAUCAACCUGGUAGAAAAUACCAUAUUGUCUCUUCAGGGACAAGGCUCUAGUUUCUGAUUUCCUGAGUGCCUCGGGAAGGUUAUUGCCAUUGGAAAUGAAAGCUUGAUUGAUUAGAACAGAGAUGUGCCUUUUAAAAGAUUGAAUUGCUGCCCUUCCAGGAUCAAAUUCAACUCUCAAGAGAGAGGCUGCCCUUAUAAUUCUUUUUUCUCCCCAGGCGUUGUGAUUCUUUUUCUCAUGAAAUAGCAAAUUGUGGAAGAUCAUGCUGUGUGACUAGUCUUGUGUAAACUGUCCCCAGACCUGGGUCUAGAGAUUGUAAUCUAUUCGUAGAAAGCUGAGAAACUCCACAAAGUGCAGGCAAAGCACGAACUGUUUUCUCACUUCAAAUGACGUAUGCGGGAGGGUGCUCGUAAUGGGAGUGGACAUUCAGUGAGAAAGUUAAAAACUGAAGAGCACUUGGUGAUGUCCUUGCAGGCUGUCCUGGCAUGCCCGUGGACACCCAUACCUCCGUACCAUUGUAACUGUAACUUCCAUCUGAUUGCACUCAGUUGCCUGUGUCUCAUUGCCCUGCCACAAAUGGCGGGCAGUCUCUACCCUUCUCUUGAAGCAGUACUUUUCUGUCUAGUUCAGAUGAUGAUUGUGCUCAAGUCCCGUCGAAGUCAAGCUCUAAGUGGCUCCAAGGCAAAUUGAAACCUUGUCUCUUAAUGGGACACACAAGCGAAGUAGAUACUCAGAGACGUUCUAGGCGGGGAAUUAUUCUGAGUCAAACCACCUCUCGUCCCCAACCCACGAUAAACUGGCACUUGCACAACAGCAUCAACCAACUGGUCUGAGGGUCAGCUGCAGCUCUGCUGGCCUGUGCUGGGCUCUACAUGUCUUCUCAUUCUGAAAACCAAGUUGAAGCUGAUCUCUGGGACAGCAAAAGGGCCAGUGGAAACUUGCAAUGCUUCUGAAAUAAUCUGUUCAGUCAUGACAAACAUUCCAUCCAUUCUUGUUCCAUUUGCCAAAGCAAGUCACAUAGCCAAGUCCAAAGCCAGUGGGGUGAGUAUGUAUACUCCACCUACCGAGAAGAUUGGCAGUGGAAGGGAGAGGACAAAUAACUGUGAACAAAGAAUGGAGUCUUCUCCAAUUUGCUCUUCUGCCCACAAGAUACUUUUACUUCUCCCAAGAUACUCAAAACUACCAGACGCUAGGCUCAGAAGUCCAGAAUCUGGCACUACACAUCAUGUCUGCUUACUACUCUUCUCGAUUCAGAGACCUACGAAUGAAAAUGACAAGUUGUCUGUCUUCUUCUUCCUAAACACUCAAUAUAAUACAAUGGUGGAGCAGGGACACCUUAUUAAAAAAAUAGAAAGAAUGGGAGGUAGAUACCUGUCACUGUUUCCUAGGGAUUCUGAUAUUCUGCUGAGCAAAAGUUGCAACCUCCCCACUCUGACGCCCCUGGCAACAGUUUCUCUUCAGUUUCUGCCAGGAUUGUCUAUCGUCUCCGUAAAUUUCUACCCAAGAAUCUGGGGAGGACUCCUGCAAAUCAGGGCACGGCUGCAUAACAAAAUGGCCUCUAGCUCGAAAUUCACUGAUGCCUAUAGGAUCACCUUGGUCUUCUCUGGGAAGGUUAGGGAUAGUUAGCAGAAGAGUGGGAGGUGUACCAGAUGGAGAUGAGGCUAUCCUGGAGCAGGCGCAGCUAAUGAUGACACCAAAAUGGGGAGUGAGCAGUUUUGAAUCCUUAGGCCAGUAGACUUUUUGUAGCUUCAGAAGUAUCCUAAGAAAGAAUCUUUAAUGCUGCCUCCUCAUUCUAGGAUUUGGAAGUAUUUUGGUGCUUGCUAUUUACAAGUGCAUGAAGCAAAGUCAGUUUUUCUUUGAACAUAUGCUUUAGCAAAGUUUAGUCUUCCUCCACCUGGUUAUUUGAAGUUAAUUGUGAAGUUAAUUCCCCUAAAUGCAUGUUUCAAAUUACUGACAUUAUUUUCCUUUAGUUUUACUUUUAUAAAAAAGAGACAAACAAUAGAAAAACAAUUCCAAAACAGGAAAUAAAAAAUAAAAUUCUAUGGUGCAGAUUCAACCUAAUGUCGAGGAUUCCUUUUGUUUAUACCGCUGGACUAGGGUAAUUGGUCUACUGGCCUUUAGCCGAGUGUUCUGUGUGUCCAGCAGAGUGCUGUUAGAGGACGUGAGGCAGAGACCCUGCUUGCUGCUCUGGUGCCAGUGCUGGCCGUGAGACUUGGCUGGUGAACUGGUAGGGGGCUCAUUAGAAGUCCACUUGCUUGAGGUACUGAGGGCUCCUGGAAGCAAACCUAGCCUAAGGGAAGAGGCAACCGGAUCUACAGACUUAACCCAGUAAUAAAGCCUUUCUUAGAAGUUGGAUAAGGGGGUGCUGAAUCUGUCACUCUGCUUUUUUCCUGGCUGCUUUCCAAUAAACUCGUGUCCCAGGAAAAAGGGUUCCCUAAAUAAGGACUGUUUCCCUAAAAACUCUCAUAAGACAUUGCGGGUACAAGGAACAGGACCCAGGGGCCGUGAGAUGAUGAUCAGUGGACAUGACAACCUUCAGGGAGGGCAGCAAGUGCGCUAGGCAGAUGUGAUGGUGAUGACUGCGGUGACAGCAGAGGCAGCAGAGCCUGUGGAAGCGCUGUGGAGGCAGCGUGGAAACCUGCGGAUGAGGCUGUCUUGGAUGAGCAUCAUGGUGCUCAGCUGAGGCUGAUUACCACACAGGUAAACAUUAAUGAGCCCUCUAACACAUCCUAAAGGCCCCCAGAAAUAGUGGGGGCAGGGGCACUGAAUGCAGGGAGCAGGCGAGGCCAAGAAGCAGAAGAAUAUUAGUGACAGAAGCUAGGAUUUUCAUUCGCCCUCCUGUGUUUAUAAUCUACAUGGGAAGUCAAGACUGUCACAUUUAAAAACCAGGAAGUGAUAAGAAAUAGGAUAGGAUCAAGCACUGCUGCCUUGUGUGAUUAUAUUUGGCGUAAUUGCAGCGGUCUUUGUGAAGGAGGAGGCAUCUGACAUGGCCUUAAUGAGUGAGUGGGAAUUGAGUAGAGUCUCCUUGAAGUGGUAAGAGCUGGAGGCCAGUAAAAACCUUCUUACAAGCACACUGAGCCUUUGCCAUACGCCAUGGAGCAUAUUUGGAAUUUUCCGCAAUGUGUGGCUAACUCUCACACAACCUUGUCAGGAAGGUUUUAUUUUCACCAUAUAUAGAAGUGAAAAAUGGAGGCUCGGCUGGAUUAAGUGGCCUGCCCAAGGUCACACAGUCAGUGAAGGGAGGGCUGAAUCAAAGGGCAGAUAGCAGGUCUAUCCGUUCCCUAAGAACAGUGGGAAUGACGGCAAGAGAAGGAACAGAAACGUAGUACAACAGGCAGGAAACCUCGAGAGCCAGGCCAAGGGGUUUGGGGGCAGUUCUGCAGGUAAGGGGAAGUCCCUGGUGAUGUUUUGGGGGGAGACUAACAGAAUAUUUUUUGUGGUUGGGCUAAUUAAUCUGGAAGUAAGACAGGAAGACUGAAAACAAAGAUGAUCUAGCUAGAGGGUGCAGUUAGUAAUCUAGGCAUCACAGAAUGAAGAGGAGUGACGAGUUGAACAACAUCUGAAAGGAGGAAACUACAGGCCUUGGUAACUUGUUCCUAAUAAGGACCCAAAGGCUUAAGAAGACCCAGAAGACUCUCCAAGGGAGUGCUGCCUUCUAUUUGGUGGGCCAGUUUCUGGCAAAGCCGGCUCAAACUCUAAGUCCAGGCCGGCACCAGAGGCCAGGGAUCCCCAAACUUGCCAAACUGGAAUUGAAAUUCAAGCUCAGAAAUUGGUUGCAGGAGUGGGCCCAGAGGAAGGCAAUGGGCAGGAUCAGACAGGCUGGUGGUAAAGAUUUUCUCUUGGAUUCUAGAGUCCUCAUCAAGUUUAAUCAAGGGCCUGGGAGACUUCCGUAGACCAGAACCAGGGCCCCACAAAGUGUAGGGAGCAUAGAACUAAGGUGAGAUCAGGAACUUCAUUUGCUCCAAGCAAGGAGACCAAAGGAGGCAACCAGAAACCAGCCUCUUAGAGUUAUAGUUUUAAUUGAACUGUGUUUUAGUGCAGUCUCGCUCUUUGAAAGAGGCUAGGCUCCAUUUCACAUAUGUGACGUUCCCCAGCUGGAAUAGUCUAAGUUAUAAUGCCCUAAUUCUCAUCCUGGGGUGUGUGUGUGUGUGUGUGUGUGUGUGUAAAAUUGUCUAAUGUUAAAAUGUAUCAUUAAUUUAUUUUCCAGGGUCUAGGUUAGAAUAUAACUAUGUGAUAUAUUCCCAAUGAAUUUCAUGGCUACAGUCCAAAUGUAACAAAUGAAUCAUUUAAAACUAUCCACAUAUUGGUGAUGCCAAAUUUUUUUUUCUUCCAUUUUAUAAAUGCAUCAUAUCUCAGCUCAAGAUCAAUCUAUUAACCUUGAAAACAUUUCGAGCUGGAAUGAAGGCUAGCAGUGAACUUUGCAACCUUCCAUGUGACAUUAGUCAUAUUUAGCCAUUAUUAUUGGCUUUGAGUAAUGAGGAGCCAGUUGAGACAGGAACAGUAACAUGGUGGUUACCAAUAAACCAGACUUUAGAGACCACAGGGAAAAUGAAGAGCAUGCAAAAUCAAGCCUUUUAAACCUCAAGCUUGUCUGCCACAAAGCUCCUGCCUUUUUAAAACAAAUUUGAACAUCUUGGCAGCUAUUCUGAUAAAUUACACAUAAAAUACUGUAGUAAAAUCUUUGUUAUGAGAUAAGGAAUUCUUUUCAGUGGAUUUAAAAGGCAACUGAAGACUAAAAAAAUGAUGUGUCUGCCCUCUAACCCUCCAGUGGGAUGAGUGUGAUGGAUUUCCCAGGUGCUAGGACUGUUGACUCUGCCAUGAGCCUGGAGGAACAAUGUAGGUAGAAACUUAGCAGCAUUAUUUUUUAAAUUAAAGUCCAAAUAAAUGUCGCAACUAAAAAUGCCUUAGGCAUACAUAAAUAUAUUAUCCUCCGGAUGAAUUUUAUAUUACAUUAUAUUGAUUUUAACACAAUAUAAAGCAUAAUAUAGAUACUUUUGGAUUCAUGACAUAAAAGAACGGAUAAUGAUUUGCCCAUAUGAGACAUAUGAAAAUACUUCUCUUAAAUUCUUCCUACCAAGGGGCUGGCCUGGUUGCACAGUGGUUAAGUUCGCACGUUAUGCUUCUUGGCUGCCUGGGG